rnacentral:rRNA from 1 species
GACGAACGCUGGCGGCGUGCUUAACACAUGCAAGUCGAACGGAAAGGCUCAGCUUGCUGGGUACUCGAGUGGCGAACGGGUGAGUAACACGUGGGUUAUCUGCCCUCCACUUUGGGAUAAGCCUCUGAAACUGGGUCUAAUUCCUGACAUGAUCAACUGUCGCAUGGUGGUUGUUGGAAAGCUUUUGCGGUUGAGGAUGGGCCCGCGGCCUCUCAGCUUGUUGUUGGGGUAAUGGCCUACCAAGGCGACGACGGGUAGCCGACCUGAGAGGGAGACCGGGCCCAGUGGGCCUGAGAAGCGGCCCAGACUCCAACGGCGGGCAGCAGUGGAAGAUAUAGCGCGCUGGGCGCAAGCGUGGAGGAGCGACGCCGCGUGGGGGAUGACGGCCGUCGGGUUGUAACCCUCUUUCACCAGGGACGAAGAGUGAGUGACGGUACCUGAAGAAAAAGCACCGGCCAACUACGUG